rnacentral:rRNA from 1 species
UACGUAGGGGGCAAGCGUUGUCCGGAAUCAUUGGGCGUAAAGAGCGUGUAGGCGGCUCGGUAAGUCCGCUGUGAAAACUCGGGGCUUAACCCCGAGCCUGCAGUGGAUACGGGCAGACUAGAGGUAGGUAGGGGAGAAUGGAAUUCCCGGUGUAGCGGUGAAAUGCGCAGAUAUCGGGAGGAACACCGGGUGGCGAAGGCGGUUCUCUGGGCCGUUACCUGGACGCUGAGGAGCGAAAGCGUGGGGAGCGAACAGG